GUGUAAACGUGUAUAAUAAUUAAUUAAUUAAUUAUUUUUAGAAAGGGAAAAGACUCUCCAAGCGUCAAAAACACUCCAAGAAAUCUGUCAAGAAAUCUAAGAAGAAUAACCCUACAGGACCAAAGCCAUUUCCACUGAACAGACUGCUGGCAAUAUUUUGUAGCAUUGUCAAACAACCUUCACGAUCUCGAGCUGAUCUAUUGCAACAGAUUUCUAGUCUCGUCUCGAGAAGGUGUCUACACCUGCAAAGCAGCAGCCAAAUUGAUAAACCGCGAUUCAAG